rnacentral:lncRNA from 1 species
GGGCGCUGAGGCCCCUCUCCCAGGCCAGCGUGCAGAAGAGGGUGUGCAGUAGCCGCCAGCGGAGCAGCACAGCACAGCGGUAGAAGGUCCCCGAACAGUGCCAUGGCUGCCGCCCGAAUCCCGUCCCGCUCCUGCAAGGCAGAGGCUCAGAGGCACGGCCAGACCUGUCCAGGGGUCCCAGCUUUGGUCCAAGUUGGGACCCCACACCUUGUAGGGCCCAGGCCUCAUGAAUGCAUUUGAGGGGCGCCUAUCCCCCAGAUUCCCCAGUGAAGGAAAAACAGCCACGCUAACCGUGCUGACAUGUCAGAAAGCAAAUCUGGGUAGGCUGUCGUGGGGCCGGAGACCACUGCACUUGGAGACUGAACGUGAGAACUAGUUCAGCCCUGUGGAGAAGGGGUGAGCGCCAGGGGCCCACCCAGCCCACCUGCUCAGCGCCCACCUCAACCGAGGGCCACAAGCGGGCAGCUCCCCAGGGCCUGGGCCUCCCUGCUUGCAGCUUGGGGUUCCCCCUUUGGCAGAGGAAGGGAGCUGGGUUGGGAGGAGGGUCCUGGAGGGCGUGAGCAGGAGGUAGCCCCGCCCUGCCCCAGU